CGCUGUGCCGUGCAAUACUGAAGCCCAACUCGUUAACAUCGUUCCAUUGAAAUCAGCAUCGUUAUUAGUUUCUUCAAAACUUGUAUCUAAAUCGCUGAAUUAGCCAACAUGCCUGUAAUAGGUUGUGCUGUCGGGUGUGACAAUCGCACCGGAAUGGAAGGGGUUAACUUCCAUCGCAUCCGCACGGAUUGAGAACCGUCGGCAAAGGUGGCUAGCUUUAGGGAAAAACUGAGUAAGGAGGGCUGAAUGGACGCACACUCUCGAUUGUGCUGUGGGCAUUUCGUGUCUGGGAAAAGUGACAAUCCACUGAGCCCAGACUAGGUGCCAUCUGUCUUCGCCCACCUCACAUCCAGUCAGAAAGACACCUGCCACUACAACCUAAAUACAUUUGAAACCAGACGGGAGAUGAAGAGGAAAAGGGUAAAGGCUCAGGAUCCGGCAGAGGAGAAGAAGUACCAGUGUCUGUUCAGGAAAGCACAGAGUCCGGCGAAACGAGGCCUAUUUAGGGACCCAUCCCCAGUGACAGAUGACCAACCAGCAGAUAUAAGGAAUUAGACCGCUACAAGCACCGGUUUUGGGUUCAUCGUCAAUUGUAGUUGACAACAACGAAAGCGAUCGCUGCAUAGUUAAAGUGAGACACCAACCUGCCAGGUACUCUAUGACGGCUGCCAUGUAGACGGGUGCCCCCAUGCCGAUGCGGUACUUGUGGGUCCCUGUGCGUAGAUACCUCAUCAUCCUCCCCACAGGAAAGAUGACCCCUGCUCUGGCGGAGCGGGACAGUUUGGUGGUCUUCUUCUUCCCUCCUCGGGCUGACAUCUUGCCUCAGCUACGUCUACCUGGGGAGGACAACAGUCCAUUUACCAUGAUCUGUGAACUUGAGAAACAAAGAUUGAGAUUCCAGAUUGAGAUGUACAGAAGAGACCUUUCAGGAGCCACUAUAACAAACUACAGUAAGAUAUGCAGCUGUGCAUGUUUGUUGUGUGCUUAUUUUAUUUGUAUGAUUAUUUUUAUUGGGAUUUUUGACAAUUACAACGACAGGAGGAAAAUAGUGAUAGGGAGACAGGGCGGCGAACCCAGGUCCUUGGGUAGCGCUAAUUGCAUAUGUAUUGAUGGCUGGCACGUUACCGCUAAGCCACAACAUCAGCAUUGCUGUGUUAAUGUACUAUAAAAACCUGUUAUGACCUCUGUCACGAUCUAUAUCACUAUCUAUAAUCCAAUGCUUGAGAGUGAACAGGUCCAGCUACCAGGGAUUGAAGCUCUUCCUGAUAGCCCAUCCACUGGAUCUGAGGAGAGACUUUCUCAUCUCAGUAGUGCUAGAAUGGUAUGCACACAGUGCAGUGUUAUACAUGGCAAUUCUCAGUAGCUGUCCUUUAUAAAAAAAUAUACGUGGCUACAGAAUGUAUGUUUGCUGUAUUCAUGUAAUCACGGAUAACAGUUUUGGACCUCUUUGCCACGGUUUGCAAUCAUCAGGGCCAGUUUGACAGUGGCCAGGUCCUUAAGUCAAGGAUCGAAGCUCUUCCUGACUGCUCAUCCCCUUGAUCCUAGGAGAGACCCUCUCAACUGAACUUUGAUGAAAUGGCCUAUGCACAGAGA